rnacentral:rRNA from 1 species
UACAGAGGUCCCGAGCGUUGUUCGGAUUCAUUGGGCGUAAAGGGUGCGUAGGCGGCUUUGCAAGUCGGGUGUGAAAUCCCCAGGCUUAACCUGGGAACUGCACUCGAGACUGCAUUGCUAGAGUAUGGGAGAGGGAAGUGGAAUUUCCGGUGUAGCGGUGAAAUGCGUAGAUAUCGGAAGGAACAUCAGUGGCGAAAGCGACUUCCUGGACCAAUACUGACGCUCAUGUGCGAAAGCGUGGGGAGCAAACAGG